AUCAUUUGCUUUUUAAUUGAAAGCUAGUAUGAAUGAUCUGACGAGAGAAAAACUGUCUCAAUACUUCUCGGAAUUUAAAUUAAAAGGUAAAAUUCUUUUUCCCCUCAAGAGGACGACAAGACCCUAUAAAAUUUUACUUUUACAAAAUCUUACUCUAGAAUCUAUUUAUUUCGACUAAAAGUUUAGCUGGGGCGGCUAAAUUAUCUAUAAACAAAUCAUAACUAAACUUAUUUUAAGAUUUUAAUAAACAUUUUAUUUAACAAAGAACAAAUUACUUUAGGGAUAACAGAGUAAUAUUUUUAGAGAGUCCUUAUCGACAAAAAAGAUUACUACCUCGAUGUUGAAUUGAAAUUCCUAGGCGGAGCAGCCUCCUUCUGCGAAAGUCUGUUCGACUUUUAAAUUUUCACAUGAUCUGAG
rnacentral:rRNA from 1 species